AACCUAGCACACCUGCGGUGUGUACCUGCGGAAGGAUCAUUACCGAGUUAGGGUAGUCACUCACUGCCCGACCUCCCAACCCUGUGUCUACCACACUUUGUCGUUGCUUCUGCGGACCGGUUGACCAACUGGUCAUGACCGCCGGGGGCUGGCUCUGUCCCCCCUGGAGAGCGUCCGCCGAUGGCCCAACCACAAAACUCUUGUACCGAAACGUGUCGUCUGAAUUAUGUUUGAGAAAUC
rnacentral:misc_RNA from 1 species